UUUAAACUCCUCAAGGGCAGAGGGCAAGGUCUGUAUUGCAAAUAUACUGAAUUCUUACACUAGGCAAGAUCCCUGGCAUGUAGCAGGAGACCAGAAAGUAUUCAUGGAAGAAAAUACGGUCACAGGAAAGGAAGGAAGAAUGGAAGUAAGGACAUGAGCUUCCCAAAGCCACAGAGUUGGGAAGUAGGGAAGUUGGGAUUUGAAUCCAGGCCAUGAAAACAUACAACCUCCUCUUAAGGGUAUCUACUGCACAGAAGAAAACAGCUAGCUUGCCGAACAAGAUUUUCAGCAGUUUCCAAAGUAAAGGCUGGAGACCAACUGGGGCACACAGCAAGAAAAUACAACCUCAUGCAAACGUUUUCAUCUAACCCAAGGUCUCACAGAUCCCUUUUGUGAACCUCGUGCACUUCCCAGUGAGUCCAGCCUUAGCAAUUUGGGGCAAUCUGACAGUGACUGGCCCUAAACUUCUCCCCAAGAACAGCUGCUUAACGUUGUCGGAGCUCAGCAGUGGCCUCUCCAGAGCUGUGGGCCAAAGAGAAACACACCGUUCCAAACCUCCAACAGCGAUGACACUGCACAGACUAUGCAAACAGGAGCGUGCUUGGUGGCACAGCAUGAAUCAGGGCUCUCUGGAAAGUUGGCCAGCAAGGCAAAUACACACUAGUUGUCCCAUGCUUUCCCUACCCUGAAAAAAAUCAUGGCCUCUGAUACCAGGGGACAUUUACAUGGGGAGAGGAAGCCAGACUGAAAUUCUUUAUCUAUGAGGUAUCUGAAAAUGCUCCCGCAUACUUCCAAAGAAAGAAAAGAUUUUGUUACCUUGA